rnacentral:rRNA from 1 species
UACAGAGGUCUCAAGCGUUGUUCGGAUUCAUUGGGCGUAAAGGGUGCGUAGGCGGCGCGGUAAGUCGGGUGUGAAAUUUCGGAGCUUAACUCCGAAACUGCAUUCGAUACUGCCGUGCUUGAGGACUGGAGAGGAGACUGGAAUUUACGGUGUAGCGGUGAAAUGCGUAGAUAUCGUAAAGAACACCAACGGCGAAAGCGGUCUGCUGGGCCGACACUGACACUGAGAGACGAAAGCUAGGGGAGCAAAUGGG